rnacentral:rRNA from 1 species
GACGAACGCUGGCGGCGUGCUUAACACAUGCAAGUCGAACGCUGAAGCUUGGUGCUUGCACUGGGUGGAUGAGUGGCGAACGGGUGAGUAAUACGUGAGUAACCUGCCCUUGACUCUGGGAUAAGCCUGGGAAACUGGGUCUAAUACUGGAUAUGACAUGCCACUGCAUGGUGGUGUGUGGAAAGGGUUUUACUGGUUUUGGAUGGGCUCACGGCCUAUCAGCUUGUUGGUGGGGUAAUGGCCUACCAAGGCGACGACGGGUAGCCGGCCUGAGAGGGUGACCGGCCACACUGGGACUGAGACACGGCCCAGACUCCUACGGGAGGCAGCAGUGGGGAAUAUUGCACAAUGGGCGGAAGCCUGAUGCAGCGACGCCGCGUGAGGGAUGACGGCCUUCGGGUUGUAAACCUCUUUCAGCACUGAAGAAGCGAGAGUGACGGUACGUGCAGAAGAAGCGCCGGCUAACUACGUG